rfam:Albugo candida, Ac Nc2, WGS project CAIX01000000 data, contig: AcNc2_CONTIG_236_length_40004
UCUCCUAUAGCUCAGUUGGUAGAGCGUGUGGCUGUUAACCAUAAGGUCGCUGGUUCAAACCCAGCUGGGAGAG